rnacentral:rRNA from 1 species
AACGCUAGCUACAGGCUUAACACAUGCAAGUCGAGGGGAAACGACAUCGAAAGCUUGCUUUUGAUGGGCGUCGACCGGCGCACGGGUGAGUAACGCGUAUCCAACCUGCCCACCACUUGGGGAUAACCUUGCGAAAGUAAGACUAAUACCCGAUGAUAUCCCUAGACGACAUCUGAAAGGGAUUAAAGAUUUAUCGGUGAUGGAUGGGGAUGCGUCUGAUUAGCUUGUUGGCGGGGUAACGGCCCACCAAGGCGACGAUCAGUAGGGGUUCUGAGAGGAAGGUCCCCCACAUUGGAACUGAGACACGGUCCAAACUCCUACGGGAGGCAGCAGUGAGGAAUAUUGGUCAAUGGGCGAGAGCCUGAACCAGCCAAGUAGCGUGCAGGACGACGGCCCUAUGGGUUGUAAACUGCUUUUAUAAGGGAAUAAAGUGAGUCUCGUGAGACUUUUUGCAUGUACCUUAUGAAUAAGGACCGGCUAAUUCCGUGCCAGCAGCCGCGGUAAUACGGAAGGUCCGGGCGUUAUCCGGAUUUAUUGGGUUUAAAGGGAGCGUAGGCCGGAGAUUAAGCGUGUUGUGAAAUGUAGGCGCUCAACGUCUGCACUGCAGCGCGAACUGGUUUCCUUGAGUACGCACAAAGUGGGCGGAAUUCGUGGUGUAGCGGUGAAAUGCUUAGAUAUCACGAAGAACUCCGAUUG